GACGUAGGGGGCCAGCGUUGUUCGGAAUUACUGGGUGUAAAGGGUUCGUAGGCGGUGCGGCAAGUCGGGUGUGAAAUCUCUGGGCUUAACCCAGAGGCUGCUUCCGAAACUGCUGUGCUUGAGUGUGGGAGAGGCGCGUGGAAUUGCAGGUGUAGCGGUGAAAUGCGUAGAUAUCGGUAGGAACACCAGUGGCGAAGGCGGGUCUCUGGGCAAUUCCUGACGCUGAGGCGCGAAAGCGUGGGGAGCAAACGGG
rnacentral:rRNA from 1 species